UCCGCAGCAGGGGCCGCGGGCUAGAUGGAGUUUGUUUUACUCUGAUUGGAACUACGUGUCAUGCGUCCGCUGCCUUGUGUGACCAUGUCUCGUGCCAGGGCAGCUCUCGUGCUGCCGCUGGCGUUGUCGGGGCUGCUGCAGGCUGCGGCCGGCAGGUAUCUCCAGUCAAAGCUGCGCCAUGGGGCCGGGACAGACCGCGAUCCUCCGUUCACCGAGAAGUACUUCAUUCAGCAGCUGGACCACUUCAACUUCAACAGCAUGGGGAACGGGACCUUCAGCCAGCGGUACCUCAUUACGGAUGAACACUGGAAGAAAGGCGACGGUCCUGUUUUCUUCUACACGGGCAAUGAGGGAGACAUCUGGGCCUUCGCCCUGAACUCCGGCUUCAUCAUGGAGCUGGCCGCGCAGCAGGGCGCCCUGGUCAUAUUCGCAGAACACAGAUACUACGGCAAAUCCCUCCCGUUUGGUCAGCAGUCCUUCAACAUCCCUCAGGUUGGCUUGCUGACGGUGGAGCAGGCCCUCGCCGACUACGCUGUCAUGAUCACGGAGCUCAAACAGCAGCUGGGGGCCGCAGGCUGCCCCGUUAUUGUGUUUGGUGGCAGUUAUGGAGGCAUGCUGUCAGUCUAUAUGAGGCUGAAAUAUCCAAACGUCGUGGCCGGCGCCCUGGCUGCCAGCGCCCCCAUUUUAUCUACUGCAGGGAUGGGAGACUCCAGGCAGUUUUUCCGUGACGUUACGUCAGAUUUCGAGAGUUAUCUCCCAGAAUGCCGACAAGCUGUGACAGAGUCCUUCCAGCAGUUGCAGCACCUGGCUGAUCACCAAGAUUUCAGCCGCAUCCGGUCCGAGUUUGCCCUGUGCAAGACUCCAUCGUCUGCUGCAGAUCUGCACCAGCUGAAAGGAAUGCUGAGGAACGCCUUCACCCUGAUGGCCAUGCUGGAUUACCCCUACAGCACGCACUUCAUGGGAAACUUGCCUGCCAACCCUGUCAAGGUGGCAUGUGACACAAUGCUCAGUGGACCUGACCUGCUGGUUAACCUCAGAAACACGGCAGGAAUUGUGUAUAACUCAUCCGGGGAAUUGAGCUGCUUUGACAUGUUCAACCUGUAUGUGGAGUGUGCUGACCCCACCGGCUGUGGACUGGGUCUCGAUAGCCUCGCAUGGGACUACCAGGCGUGCACAGAGAUUGAUCUGUGCUUUGAGAGCAACAAUAUGACCGACAUGUUCCCCCCCAUGCCCUUCACGGAGCACGACAGGGAGGUCUACUGCUCCAAACACUGGGGAGUGAUUCCACGGCCCAGCUGGCUUAAAACCCAGUUCUGGGGUGAUGCCCUCUCCACGGCCAGUAACAUUAUCUUCUCCAAUGGAGACUUGGACCCAUGGGCAAACGGAGGGGUGCGGAAGUCCCUUAGCUCAUCAUUGGUUGCCAUCAACAUAUCUGGAGGAGCCCACCAUCUCGACCUGAGAGAGUCCAACGAUGCCGAUCCAUUGUCAGUUAUAAACGCCAGAAGGACUGAAUCUGACCUGAUAGCACAGUGGGUGAAGAUGGCGAAACUGAGAUCGUGACAGUCACCAUAAUACACAAACUGUUUCAGUGAACUCGUGGGUGUUUUGUUUUUUCCCCAUAAAUCUCUUUAAUCACUUUUCAAAAUUAAAACAGAUCGAACAUUUAUUGUAAACCAGUUGACAGUUCAAUACAUCUUGAAUUUAGAUCAUUAACACUGAAAUAAAUAAAUACAAAAGGAAAAGGUGGCGCCAUCAGAACAAAGCCCUUGAAUUGUGUUUGCCACCAAAUUCAACAAGAUCCAUAAUUUAUUAGGACAAAGAUUGUUUGAGUAGUUUUGAGACCCGUGCCAAUUACUGUUUGUGAAAACUACUUUUUAAUGCUAAACUAUUUUGCUAACAAAUUUUUGCUGGUUAAAAAAAAAGUAAAAUUUCAAGUUUGAUAGCUGACCAUCCUUAUCAGAGGGAAAAAUACAACAUAUAAAAUGAGCUCUGCUGCUACAUUAAAACACAACCACAUUUUUCAAAAAUUGAAAAACCUAAUUGACAAUGUAAUUGGCACCACUGGAGUCUGUCAUGUGACCCUGGCCCAUCUACACUAUUUAACCCAAAUCUCAAGACAGCGGGGUCUGAAAGUCUGAGUCCAGUUUGUUUUCCUUCUCGGGUACAUUUAUUUUUCCACAAAUGUCAUAAAUCUAUUUUUGUUAUAGAAAGUGUGUUAUGCAUACCAUGUCCUUAAUGGUGUGACAACUUUUCUUUUUCAUGAAGUUUUAAUACAUGUACAUUAGUAAUACAGAGAGCUGUUCUGGUCCCGUAACAGUUCUUAGGAGAUACUGACGUGAUUGACAUGGUCCUGUGUCUUAUGGUUGCUUUCAUUUUACAAAGAAUGCUUUCCCAACACGGGGAUCGCUGGUUCGAAUCCCUGUGUUACCUCCGGCUUGGUUGGGCGUCCCUACAGACCCAAUUGGCUGUGUCUGCAGCUGGCAACUCCAUGUACAUCGGAGGAGGCGUGGUAGUCUGCAG